rnacentral:rRNA from 1 species
AUGGAGUUGGGCGCGCGGUUCGAAUCGCCAACUCUCGCUGUGUAUUUGGGGCGCCCGCUUCCGUGCGCGGCACACACGAGCGCUCGCGCCGCACUCUCUCCUCCCCGCCACCUUCGCCCCGCGCGCGCCGGCGCCGGCGAACUUGACCCGAUGGACGCACGCGCCGGCACCCCGCUCACCCCAUCUUACAGCCGCGACCCCUCCACCGCCGCCGCCGCCACCGCAAACCCUAGCGCGGGGAGCGUUGGCCUCGCUUCCGCCGGAGCUCCUCCGAGCAUCGGCCUCGCGCGCGGCCUCUUCAUGCCGCCGCGGAUGACCUCGGCGGCGGGUGGCAUCACGCCGGCCCCCCACCCCCCCUCGAAGCUCCCCAAUGCGGCGCGGCCGAAGAAGGGCAAGACAUCCGCGAAGAAGAACAAGGCGGCGGACGGCUCCGGCACCUCGAAGGCGAGGAGGAAGAAGCUUGCAGGGCGUGUGACGGGCGCGGCGGCUACCGAAGCGCCGGCGAGCUCACUGGUUGAGCCGGCGGCCGACACGCACAACAUGUUCGAGGAUAUGCCCUAA